GCGCCUGUAGCUCAGCUGGAUAGAGCAUCUGCCUUCUAAGCAGGUUGUCGGGAGUUCGAAUCUCUCCAGGCGCGCCA
rnacentral:tRNA from 1 species